rnacentral:rRNA from 1 species
CCUACGGGUGGCAGCAGUGAGGAAUAUUGGUCAAUGGUCGGGAGACUGAACCAGCCAAGCCGCGUGAGGGAGGAAGGUACAGAGUAUCGUAAACCUCUUUUGUCAGGGAACAAAGGCGGGGACGUGUCCCCGGAUGAGUGUACCUGAAGAAAAAGCAUCGGCUAACUCCGUGCCAGCAGCCGCGGUAAUACGGAGGAUGCGAGCGUUAUCCGGAUGUAUUGGGUUAAAGGGGUGCGCAGGCGGUCUGUUAAGUCAGCGUUCAAAGCCCGGGGCUCAACCCCGGGCCGCCGUUGAAACUGGCAGUCUCGAGUUGGAGAGAAGUAUGCGGAAUGCGCGGUGUAGCGGUGAAAUGCAUAGAGAUCGCGCAGAACUCCGAUUGCGAAGGCAGCAUGCCGGCUCCACACUGACGCUGAGGCACGAAAGCGUGGGUAUCGAACAGGAUUAGAUACCCUAGUAGUC